AUCCUGGCUUAGAACGAACGCUGGCGGCGUGCUUAACACAUGCAAGUCGAACGCGAAAGGGACUUCGGUCCUGAGUAAAGUGGCGCACGGGUGAGUAACGCGUAGAUAACCUGUCUUCAUGUCUGGAAUAAUACGCCAAAGGGGGUACUAAUACCGGAUAUUCUUGCUUUUCAUAAGUUAUGCAAGCAAAGGUGGCCUCUGCAUAUGCUACUGCAUGAAGAGGGGUCUGCGUACCAUUAGCUAGUAGGUGGGGUAAUGGCCUACCUAGGCGACGAUGGUUAGCGGGUCUGAGAGGAUGAUCCGCCACACUGGCACUGGAACACGGGCCAGACUCCUACGGGAGGCAGCAGUGAGGAAUAUUGCGCAAUGGGGGAAACCCUGACGCAGCGACGCCGCGUGAAGUGAGGAAGGCCUUCGGGUCGUAAAGCUCUGUCAAGAGGAAAGAAGUGUACAAUGGCUAAUACCUGUUGUAUUUGACGGUACCUCUAAAGGAAGCACCGGCUAACUCCGUGCCAGCCGCAGC
rnacentral:rRNA from 1 species